UGCAAGAAGAUCCAGGAGGAGGCAUCUCUUUUGCAUGGUUUCUCGUGACGCCGAGAGUAUACUGUGGAUCAGCCCUGCAGGGGCAGCAAGCUGAAGAACGAAGCCAGAACCUAUGAAGAAGUUCUGGGGAUUGUGUCGAAAACAGCACAAGUGUAAGGGAACGUUUUACUUGGUAACCAGAUAUACUUAAUAUACUUUGCAACUCUAAGAUGUUCUUUUGAUCGCUGCAGAUUCAACAGAUGUCACAGAUUUCUCACCAUUUCUCUGUAUGUACAAUAAAUGCUCGGUCCUGUA